rnacentral:rRNA from 1 species
UACGUAGGGUGCAAGCGUUAAUCGGAAUUACUGGGCGUAAAGCGUGCGCAGGCGAUUAUGUAAGACAGAUGUGAAAUGCCCGGGCUUAACCUGGGAACUGCAUUUGUGACUGCAUGGCUAGAGUUUGGCAGAGGGGGGUAGAAUUCCACGUGUAGCAGUGAAAUGCGUAGAUAUGUGGAGGAACACCGAUGGCGAAGGCAGCCCCCUGGGUCAAGACUGACGCUCAUGCACGAAAGCGUGGGGAGCAAACAGG